rnacentral:rRNA from 1 species
CAAUAGCGUAUAUUAAAGUUGUUGCGGUUAAAAAGCUCGUAGUUGGAUUUCUGCUGAGAACGACCGGUCCGCCCUCUGGGUGUGUAUCUGGCUCUUUCUUGGCAUCUUCUUGGCGAACGUUGCUGCACUUGACUGUGUGGAGCGCUACCCAGGACUUUUACUUUGGGGAAAUUAGAGUGUUUCAAGCAGGCAUACGCCUUGAAUACAUUAGCAUGGAAUAAUAAGAUAGGACCUCGGUUCUAUUUUGUUGGUUUCUAGAGCUGAGGUAAUGAUUAAUAGGGAUAGUUGGGGGCAUUCGUAUUUAACUGUCAGAGGCGAAAUUCUUGGAUUUGUUAAAGACGGACUACUGCGAAAGCAUUUGCCAAGGAUGUUUUCAUUG